rnacentral:tRNA from 1 species
GGAGAGAUGGCUGAGUGGCCGAAAGCGCCGGAUUGCUAAUCCGGUCUGCGGGGAAACCCGUAGCACGGGUUCGAAUCCCGUUCUCUCCG